AAAUGUUUCACAUAAUUCUAUACACUCUUUGACAAACGAACUGGAAUGGAAAAAUCAAGACAGUUCCGUUUUUUCCAGGAAAGGAUCGAGACAGUGCAUUCGGAGCCCCUCGAGAACAAGAGACGAUUGAUGUCAUGUCCAAAAGCCGUAAUUUUAUAAUACUUCUUAGUGACAUUACCAAUGGCACUCAGGAGUGGAAUAAGAAAGAAUGGAAAUAUGCUUGGAAUUAUUACAAAUGGGACUUCAGUCGGAACCUUAUUGUCAUCAAUUACGAUUUCGUAAAAUGCGAUGACAUUGUAAAGAAGUUCUUUCGAGGGUUUUUUACUUUAAGAAAGGUCAUUAACUUCUCGAACUUUGAUAACAAUAUUAAAGAAGAUAUUUUAACAUUACUGAAAUAAAAAAAGUCUUUAUUAC